rnacentral:rRNA from 1 species
UGCCUUAGUAACGGCGAGUGAAGCGGCAACAGCUCAAAUUUGAAAGCUGGCUCCUUUGGAGUCCGCGUUGUAAUUUGUAGAGGAUGAUUCGGCAAGGGCUCCCGCCUAAGUCUCCUGGAACGGAGCGUCAUAGAGGGUGAGAAUCCCGUAUGCGGUGGGCUGCCUAAGCCAUGUGAAUCUCCUUCGACGAGUCGAGUUGUUUGGGAAUGCAGCUCUAAAUGGGAGGUAAAUUUCUUCUAAAGCUAAAUACCGGCCAGAGACCGAUAGCGCACAAGUAGAGUGAUCGAAAGAUGAAAAGCACUUUGGAAAGAGAGUUAAAAAGUACGUGAAAUUGUUGAAAGGGAAGCGCUUGCAGCCAGACUUGUCCGCAGUUGCUCAGCCGGUCUCCUGACCGGUGUACUCUUCUGCGGCCAGGCCAGCAUCAGUUCGGGCGGUCGGAUAAAGACCUCGGGAAUGUAGCUCCUCUCGGGGAGUGUUAUAGCCCGGGGUGGAAUGCGGCCAGCCUGGACUGAGGAUCUCGCUUCGGCUAGGAUGCUGGCGUAAUGGCUGUAAGCGGCCCGUCUUGAAACACGGACCAAGGAGUCUAACAUCUAUGCGAGUGUUUGGGUGUCAAACCCAUGCGCGUAAUGAAAGUGAACGGAGGUGGGAACCCUCACGGGUGCACCAUCGACCGAUCCUGAUGUCUUCGGAUGGAUUUGAGUAAGAGCAUAGCUGUUGGGACCCGAAAGAUGGUGAACUAUGCCUGAAUAGGGUGAAGCCAGAGGAAACUCUGGUGGAGGCUCGCAGCGGUUCUGACGUGCAAAUCGAUCGUCAAAUUUGGGUAUAGGGGCGAAAGACUAAUCGAACCAUCUAGUAGCUGG